rnacentral:rRNA from 1 species
ACUGAGACACGGCCCAAACUCCUACGGGAGGCAGCAGUAGGGAAUCUUCCACAAUGGACGCAAGUCUGAUGGAGCAACGCCGCGUGAGUGAAGAAGGCUUUCGGGUCGUAAAACUCUGUUGUUGGAGAAGAAUGGUCGGCAGAGUAACUGUUGUCGGCGUGACGGUAUCCAACCAGAAAGCCACGGCUAACUACGUGCCAGCAGCCGCGGUAAUACGUAGGUGGCAAGCGUUAUCCGGAUUUAUUGGGCGUAAAGCGAGCGCAGGCGGUUUUUUAAGUCUGAUGUGAAAGCCCUCGGCUUAACCGAGGAAGCGCAUCGGAAACUGGGAAACUUGAGUGCAGAAGAGGACAGUGGAACUCCAUGUGUAGCGGUGAAAUGCGUAGAUAUAUGGAAGAACACCAGUGGCGAAGGCGGCUGUCUGGUCUGUAACUGACGCUGAGGCUCGAAAGCAUGGGUAGCGAACAGGAUUAGAUACCCUGGUAGUCCAUGCCGUAAACGAUGAAUGCUAGGUGUUGGAGGGUUUCCGCCCUUCAGUGCCGCAGCUAACGCAUUAAGCAUUCCGCCUGGGGAGUACGACCGCAAGGUUGAAACUCAAAGGAAUUGACGGGGGCCCGCACAAGCGGUGGAGCAUGUGGUUUAAUUCGAAGCAACGCGAAGAACCUUACCAGGUCUUGA